ACGGGAGCUCCCCAAAUAUACAUCCAAGACCUCCUCUCCAACGGCUCCCCCUCCGUCAUGGCCCAGACACAUUAGAGCCAUAAAACCCAGAGUGAAUUACUAUUCCAUGAGGUACAGAUGAGAAAAAUGAAUCACGUAUGCUUCACAGGAAGUGACUUCAUCAUUUCCAACAAGUGGCCAUGGAAGUGGAGUGUGCCAUCACUGGCUGAAAAGAAGUCUGUCACGAAAGAGAGCUGCGCCCAACUGAGGCCACCAGGCCACAUCUCAGAGCCUUCUUUUCCCCAUCCUUGAGAACCCCCACUUCCGAGGCCAGAUGACGUCAGGGUUAUAUUGUCUGACCCCCUCAGGAACAGAGAAGGUGCCCAAGGAGGGGGAGAGGACCCACUAAAGUUCAUUAGAAUUGAAGUUAUGUAGGAUGAUUGGCUGGCUCAGUAUAUCUGUGGUGGGUUCUGAACCGGAUCUCAGCCCCCCUGUGCCCUCCAGUGCCCUUCCCAUGGCACCAGCCCACUUCCUCAUCCUCUAAGAGGCAUGUCUCCAUAGCUUCCUGAACUUCCUUUCUCAACAGCCUCACAGAACCUCUACUAGAGUGUGGGUUACUCCUCCAGGGUUCCUUCUUCCAUGCUAGACUGUAAGCUCUCCAAGAAUAGAAAUGGUAUGUAUUCUUCUCUGUAUCCUUCAUUUCUAGCACAUUGUCUGUCUCGAGAAGACAUUCAAAGACUAUCUGUUGGAUGCACGCAGAAACAAUAAAUAAGGCUCAUCGUC